rnacentral:rRNA from 1 species
GAGUGGCGGACGGGUGAGUAACACGUGGGUAACCUGCCCAAAAGAGGGGGAUAACAUUUGGAAACAGAUGCUAAUACCGCAUAACAACUAUUUUCUCAUGAUUAUAGUUUGAAAGAUGGCUCUGCUAUCGCUUUUGGAUGGACCCGCGGCGUAUUAGCUAGUUGGUGAGGUAAUAGCUCACCAAGGCGAUGAUACGUAGCCGACCUGAGAGGGUAAUCGGCCACAUUGGGACUGAGACACGGCCCAAACUCCUACGGGAGGCAGCAGUAGGGAAUCUUCCACAAUGGACGAAAGUCUGAUGGAGCAAUGCCGCGUGAGUGAAGAAGKUUUYCGGAUCGUAAAACUCUGUUGUUGAAGAAGAACAUGCGUGAGAGUAACUGUUCACGUACUGACGGUAUUCAACCAGAAAGCCACGGCUAACUACGUGCCAGCAGCCGCGGUAAUACGUAGGUGGCAAGCGUUGUCCGGAUUUAUUGGGCGUAAAGAGAAUGUAGGCGGUUUAUUAAGUUUGAAGUGAAAGCCCUCGGCUCAACCGAGGAAGUGCUUCGAAAACUGGUAAACUUGAGUGCAGAAGAGGAAAGUGGAACUCCAUGUGUAGCGGUGGAAUGCGUAGAUAUAUGGAAGAACACCAGUGGCGAAGGCGGCUUUCUGGUCUGUAACUGACGCUGAGAUUCGAAAGCAUGGGUAGCAAACAGGAUUAGAUACCCUGGUAGUCCAUGCCGUAAACGAUGAGUGCUAAGUGUUUGGGGGGUUUCCGCCCCUCAGUGCUGCAGCUAACGCAUUAAAGCACUCCGCCUGGGGAGUACGAUCGCAAGAUUGAAACUCAAAGGAAUUGACGGGGGCCCGCACAAGCGGUGGGAGCAUGUGGUUUAAUUCGAAGCAACGCGAAGAACCUUACCAGGUCUUGACAUACCAUGAAAAGCUAAGAGAUUAGUCUUUCCCUUCGGGGACAUGGAUACAGGUGGUGCAUGGUUGUCGUCAGCUCGUGUCGUGAGAUGUUGGGUUAAGUCCCGCAACGAGCGCAACCCUUAUUAUCAGUUGCCAGCAUUUAGUUGGGCACUCUGGGUGAGACUGCCGGUGAUAAACCGGAGGAAGGUGGGGACGACGUCAAAUCAUCAUGCCCCUUAUGACCUGGGCUACACACGUGCUACAAUGGUCGGUACAACGUGCUGCGAACUCGCGAGGGCAAGCAAAUCACUUAAAACCGAUCUCAGUUCGGAUUGUAGGCUGCAACUCGCCUACAUGAAGCUGGAAUCGCUAGUAAUCGCGGAUCAGCAUGCCGCGGUGAAUACGUUCCCGGGCCUUGUACACACCGCCCGUCACACCAUGAGAGUUUGUAACACCCAAAGUCGGUGGGGUAACCCUUCGGGAACUAGCCG